rnacentral:rRNA from 1 species
ACUGGUGUCAGCCGCCGCGGUAAUACCAGCUCUCCGAGUGGUAGGGAUGAUUAUUGGGCUUAAAGCGUCCGUAGCCGGCUUAGCAAGUCUCCUGUUAAAUUCAGCGACCUAAUCGUUGAGCCGCGGGAGAUACUACUAGGCUAGGAGGCGGGAGAGGCCGACGGUAUUCUCGGGGUAGGGGUGAAAUCCUAUAAUCCCGGGAGGACCACCAGUGGCGAAGGCUGUCGGCUAGAACGCGUCCGACGGUGAGGGACGAAAGCUGGGGGAGCGAACCGGAUUAGAUACCCGGGUAGUCCCAGCUGUAAACUAUGCGGGCUAGGUGUCAGUGUGGCUACGAGCCACUCUGGUGCCGCAGGGAAGCUCAUAA